CCCCCCCCCGUCCCACUGCUAGUUGGUAUCUUUAAUAAAAAAAGACACCCACUUCCACAUGAUAACAAAGAUAGCAUUCAACUAAACUAAUUCUCUCGGCCGUAGCUUCACCCUAAGGUAAUAAUCUUUGCUAUUUUUCCCAAUAAAAUAGCACCACCAUGACAUCCUUGUAUUCUCUUUAUUGCUAAUUGUGGAAGUUUACCUGCUCCUUUUUAACUUGCUAUCUUCCUCUUUCUAAAUAUUUAUAUUUGCAUUUGUUUACAUUGUUUAUUAAUCUUAUGUCCCAUUGGCUUUUGGACAUUCCUACUUCUUAGCUUUUAAGCUGAAUACAAUUCUGUAGCUGCAUUGGUAACAUUGUUUAGAACAAUGUUUUAGUCCAUUGGAUAGAAUCAUCCUGUGUGUUAUUUUACCAGAGGCCUAUCUUGCUACAGAUAUAAUAAGCUUGAAUGUUUUAGAAGGCAUUAUUUAUCCAAUGGUAAUGCAGAAAUAAUUUUUAAUACAGAAAUAAUUUUUUGGAGCUUCCUUCACUUAAACAAUUAAUUUUAUCCCAUACUUUUCCUUUUUUAUAUAUAUAUAAUUUCUUACGGGCUCUAAUGCUCCUGUUGUUCCAACACCAUUUUGCUCAUAGUUGACUAUGCUUUUCUUUCCAUAUCUGCUCUCAAUGAGUGACCAUUAAAUGCACACCAUUCUAGUUGAUGGUUUGAAAACCAUUCAUUUCAUGCAGCUUGACUUCUCUGGUUGUUGCAUAACACUUUCAAAAUGUUUAUACUCCCUUGCAUUCUUUUAAAACAUUCUAAUUUAUUUCAGUAGUUGACACAGUGCUGUGUUCAUCAAGAUUUUAAAAAUCUUUAAUGAAACAAUCUAUUGAAAACGUUGCUAUUGCAAUGCACAGGUCAUAUUGAAUUCAUUGGUCAGAGAUGAGUUGUUUGUCUGAAAAUCUAACACUUAUUUUAAUAAUAUAUUCCUCAAUGUAUAACAUUUAAAUGCAAUAUACAAAUCUUCCUAAUAUAAUCAGAGAAAAGUUGCGCAUGUUCAUUAGGUUUGUAAACCUUUUGUGGAGGAAUGAAAAAAAACCCAGGCACAUGUCAAUAUGUAAUAUACAACUUUCUAAGAGAAAAGUUUCAUGUUGACAUGCAACAUUUUAAUGGAUUUACAAAUACUGCUAAUAUUUUAACAGCAGUGUCGAUCUACUGUUUUUCAGACUUGCAAUCUACAUCAUCCUGACUCAUCAUGCAAAGCUGCUGAGGAAUAGAUCUGAUUUAUGAACAUUCUAAUUCCACUAUUCUUAAAUGUUGAAUCUUCUGACCUUUAGUCCAUCUGGUUUAUGAGCACUUAAUUCCAACAUUCUCAAAUGUUAAAUCUUCUGACCUUUAGUCCAUCUGGUUUAUGAACAUUUAAUUCCACUAUUCUUAAAUGUUUAAUCUUCUGACCUUUAGUCCAUCUGGUUUAUGAGCACUUAAUUCCAACAAUCUCAAAUGUUUAAUCUUCUGACCUUUAGUCCAUCUGGUUUAUGAACAUUUAAUUCCACCAUUCUCAAAUGUUUAAUCUUCUGACCUUUAGUCCAUCUGGUUUAUGAACAUUUAAUUCCACCAUUCUCAAAUGUUUAAUCUUCUGACCUUUAGUCCAUCUGGUUUAUGAACAUUUAAUUCCACCAUUCUCAAAUGUUUAUAAUCUUCUGACCUUUAGUCCAUCUGGUUUAUGAACAUUUAAUUCCACCAUUCUCAAAUGUUUAUAAUCCUCUGACCUUUAGUCCAUCUUUAGAACUUCUUUCACAUCUGUCUGCAAUAUUUCAAUUACAUAAUCAAUUUCCUGGACAUUAUAGAGCCAAUCCCCAUAUUAUAUUAGCUUUACCCUUUUUCUUUUUUAUAAUAUUUAAUAGCAAUUCAUUUCAUUCUCACGAGAAGCUUUUAAGAGUUUUUAGCUCAAUGAGAUGUUUCUGGUGACUAUACUAGAACUUAGCCUUACAUAGAAUAAGGUAUUCAAUAAUCUUGUGUGCCUAGGUCUAGCAAGGUCAACAUGAUUAGGGUUUGUCUUUCUCUAUUCUUGAAACAUGAUGGAAUAUGUUGUCCGUGGUGUCGUAUUCACCUGUUUCUAGUAUCUCUUCCCUUGCAUAGUGGUUUCCUUCACUAUCGAUUUGAACAUCAUAUAGAGGUCAUGCAUCAUGAUAUUGAAUCUCUCUGCCUGACCAUUCCCUCUGGGGUUAUAUGGCGUUGUACAUGAUUUUUCAACCACCCUAAAAUCUAAAGCCACCACUUAGAGUGGAAGUGUAGCUAGCAAAUGUCCCGGAGGCUGGUGUACUUUAACUGCCAGUAGUUUCGCAUGUUGACACUAGUCUCAUACUUCAUACAGCGUUGACGGACAUCAUGCUCCAUGUUCGGCCAUUAACAGCCACUUUGCAGACAACAUCCCAGCCCCGACUGUUGGGCUCGUGGCCCAAUCCUAAGGCUUGGCGUCAGUACUUUUCUGCCAGAACCACUUGCAUUACUGGGUUCAAUUGUAGACCGAUACAGCACGCCAUCCUUCAGGAUAAGCCUCUUCUGCUAUUGCAUAAACGUUUGGCAAGGGUAGGUCGGUUAUUGUUGUUGAUGUAGACUCAGGUCUUCUCAGGGUUCAUCUUAAACUGCCAUAUCCGGUCUAAAUCCUCUUGAAGUCCAUGCUGAAUUUCCAUAAGAGACGGUGCAAUCCGAUGGACCUCCAAGUCGUCAGCACAAUCAGAGAGAGUACAAGGCCAAUAACGGUCUUCAAAACCUGAGCUGCCUGCAUCUUGUGGCGAGAUACUGUAGGAAAGGAGUAGAUUGACGCAAUAGGUCAUUAUGUACAAACAUUCCACCUCUUUCAUCUUUCAUUCACUAAUUUGCUCACUGAUUGAAAGGGUAUCAAAAAUAUCAUUUGGCUUCCUGUAGAAUUUGUCUUGGUCCAACAUGUAUGUGUAGUCCGAUUUCACUCAAACUGUUCUUUACAACUAUAACCAUCUAGUUUUUAAAAUGGAAUUUUUUUUAAAAAUGGAAUUUCUUCUUGACUUUUGUGUCCUUACUGUAUGCAGUUGUAUAAUUCAGAGAAUCAGGUUAUCUGAACUUUUUCUGAUCUCUUUUGCUGUUUGAUGCCUUUUGUAGUUUUUUCACAUGUACAAUUUUUUUUUAAUAAAAUGGGUUUUAAAAUGACUCAUAAAAAUUAAAUAAUUUAAAACAAUUGAUUUUAUAAAAUCAUUUAGUUCAAUCAACACUUUAAAAUCAGAAGAUGCAUAAAUUAUUAAUUAUGCACUCGUUGCACCAGAACAAAGUAGUUGGACUUGUAUUUAAUUAUAAUAAUCAUGUGUUAUUUUAAAAGCCAAAACAUAUCAGUGGUACACAGGUAUGGAACACUUGUUGGAGUAAUAAAGUUUAUUAAAACAUUGACUUAGCUAAACUCUUGAAAACACCGCAUCCGGAUAAAUCCAAAGAAAAGACUGAAUCAACAAAUGUAUUAAUUGGUUCUUCGAACCCGUAUACGUUAGCAGCUAUCAAACAAGACAAAAGCAUGUGCUUUGCUAUACUUGUUGUAACACUACCUAACUCGGAUAACUCUGACUGAUCGAAAAAGCAUUCAAAAUCAUACGUUGCGCUGAAGGGAUAAACAAAGUUUGUAUUUACAUCUACCCUAUACGAUGUUAAAAACUCCCUGAUUGUUUUCUGUGUAUGAUAAAUCCCUCUUUUAUACCUUUCUACGGGUUUGCCCCCAUUGCACCCUGACUCAUGUCUGUUCAGCUGCCUAAUGGUGGGCCAUAACUUGCUACACAUAAAACUCGCGAAAGAGUGCGCUAUGGUAUAGUGUCUUGUUAAAUUGUCAAGUCGUGUAAAUACUUUCACACUUUACACAGGGAUGUCUUUGUUGUCCGUGUGCCGUAUCUUAAUGGCGUAUGAAAGCGUCUUUGCGGGUGAAUACAUGGUCACAGAUCUCGCACUUGUAACGGGUCAAAGCUGGAUGGGUGGCUUCUAUUAUUGACGAACUGUCUAAUGGUUGGCUCGGCUGGAUGAGUGGGUCGCUGGCUGUGGAAUAAAAAAUAAAUAAAUAAAAAAUAAAAAUAAUUAAGUAAAUACAUUUGACAACUUUAAAACAAAAAUAUAUUAAUUUAAAUAUUUUAAAUUCACAUAUUGAACUUACCUCAGGGUUGGUUUGAACGUCUAAGCCGGGUUGAGUUAGAUCCGUAGUGGUGUAGCUGUAGGCGGUUGGAUCGGUUAGGUGGAUAGCUCAAUGGGUUGUUUAGUGGUUGGGGCAGCUGGUUGGCUGUAUAGUUGGGUCCGAUGUAAACUUAAAAGUAAAGCGCAAGCAUUUGACUACUUAUUUAGAAAAAGAUUUUAAAAAAGGGUAUAAGCCUAUUCUAGUAGUGGUCUAGAGUUUGGGUCGGUUGUACAAUACAAAAUUAAAGUGAAUACAUUUUUUAUAAAAAAAUAUUUAUUUAUUUAAAGGGUAUAAUCAGAAACUUUUUAGUGGGGUUAGUUCCUUUAAAACAAAAAUAAAUAAAUUAACCUUAACUUUAAUUUUUAUUCCUUAAGUUCAGUAAACACUCACAAAGUAUGCGGUCUGUGGUUGUUUAGGUGGAUGUGUUGGUGGUCUGCAGUCCUAAGCCGAAGUGGUUUAGAACAAAUUCUCGUGUUAAUUUAUACUUUUGGCUGGCUUAGGUGUAGAGUCAGACUGUCUCCUGCAAAACAGAUGGUAUCCAGAUAAAAAGUAAUGACUUGACCACAGUGUAGAAGAAAAGCAAUUACUUUUACAGGGGUUGGGUGAAGACUAAGAAAUCCCAGGGCUCACCUCACCUUCCUGGAAGACAAAGAAAUUCCAGGGCGAUAAAUCACCUCACAUUGGCAUAACAGAGCAGAGCCUCACUUGCCAGAGCAGCAGGGGAGCCAGCACUUGUGGCAAUUAAUCAUGGUCGGGUGUCAAACCGACUGGGAAAACACCCAUUCAUCACCGUCCGGUUAUUACCUGUCAUUCCAUCAACCACCAGCAUAACUGUGCUUAGUUUUUUGCUGUAUUGAUUUAUUUGUAACAGCUGAAGUUAAUGGGUUUGACCCCAGUUAUAAUGGAAUUGUAUACACAAAGAAAUCCUAUUUUUUGUACAUGAUUGUAAGAAAAAAAAAACUGUAGUUAAGGUUAAAAAUCUAAAACAGUACUACCUUAUUGUUAUUGUUAAAAUUAAUCACCAAAUAACAAACAAACAAAUAAUUCAUCUUGAUUAAUCAGUUUAAUUGACUUUUUUUCCAUCCAAUUUUUGCUUUAUUCUCUUUGAAUUUGCUGAAAUUUGAAAUUGAUCAUAUUGACAUUGUCUUAUGUAGCUACUUAUAAAGUACUUGCCACUGCUUAUCUUUGAAAUUCUGUGCAACAUUGGAAAAAAAAUGUCAAUCAAUUUGAUGUCCCAUCACAAAAGUUUUUUGACAAUGUGAUAUAUUGUGAAGAUGUGUCAACUGCCAUCUUCCCAUUGAAACUCAACUAUUAAACCUCAACUGAACCUUACUGGUCAUUGGUUUAGACAUUCUAUUGGUUCCUACCUGCUCCAACUACUUGACCAAUGGCUAGCUAUUGGUCUGUAAUCCUGUGCUAAUCUAAAUCUCUCAGUAUUGACCUAUUUCUAAACUACUGCCUAAUCUUGUGUUACUACAACUGUCUGGAAUCUCUCUUCUUCUCUCCCCCUCCCUUCCAUUACCAGGUGAUGUAAAGGUGUGGCUGUCUUCUUAUCCAGUUCAGUUUUGUGAUGAGGAUAACCUGCUUACAAGGAAGACAUGGAGAAGAACGGUUGAAGAAGAGGCUAAAGCAGCUGGGCACACAUGGGCACAGAUAAAGGGGGCAGCCCAAAACCGAGUCCGAUGGAGAAUGUGUGGUUGCAGCCCUUUGCUCCCCAGCGGCCACAAAGGAAUGAUGAUGAUGAACUUACAACUUACAACUGUUACCUCUACUUAAAUAUUAACAGCGGCCACACUUCAUACUUUGCUGAUGGACACCAUGUUCUGCCACAUACUAAGAAGUACGGUCCAUAGAAUCUACAAUUAAAAAGCAGCCAAGAUCAGUAUGGCUCUGGUGAAUCCAAAAUGGUGCACUCAAAAUUACAAGGUUCUAACAGUAAUGCAUUAAUUGGGACUACCAUCAUUAUAUUUUAAUCAGGUCACCAGCAAACAUUUAAAGGCUCACAGUGACAAACAGGUUUUGGAAGCUAUGUGUGUUAAAGUGACUUGUUUUAUUUACUUGAAUAAAGCUCAUUUCAAAGAACAGC